rnacentral:rRNA from 1 species
AGAGUUUGAUCAUGGCUCAGAUUGAACGCUGGCGGCAUGCCUUACACAUGCAAGUCGAACGGCAGCGCGGGGCAACCUGGCGGCGAGUGGCGAACGGGUGAGUAAUAUAUCGGAACGUGCCCUGGAGUGGGGGAUAACGCAGCGAAAGUUGCGCUAAUACCGCAUACGAUCUAAGGAUGAAAGCAGGGGACCUUCGGGCCUUGUGCUCCUGGAGCGGCCGAUAUCUGAUUAGCUAGUUGGUGGGGUAAAGGCCUACCAAGGCAUCGAUCAGUAGCUGGUCUGAGAGGACGACCAGCCACACUGGAACUGAGACACGGUCCAGACUCCUACGGGAGGCAGCAGUGGGGAAUUUUGGACAAUGGGCGCAAGCCUGAUCCAGCAAUGCCGCGUGAGUGAAGAAGGCCUUCGGGUUGUAAAGCUCUUUUGUCAGGGAAGAAACGGUUGUGGCUAAUAUCCAUGGCUAAUGACGGUACCUGAAGAAUAAGCACCGGCUAACUACGUGCCAGCAGCCGCGGUAAUACGUAGGGUGCAAGCGUUAAUCGGAAUUACUGGGCGUAAAGCGUGCGCAGGCGGUUUUGUAAGUCUGUCGUGAAAUCCCCGGGCUCAACCUGGGAAUUGCGAUGGAGACUGCAAGGCUAGAAUCUGGCAGAGGGGGGUAGAAUUCCACGUAGCAGUGAAAUGCGUAGAGAUGUGGAGGAACACCGAUGGCGAAGGCAGCCCCCUGGGUCAAGAUUGACGCUCAUGCACGAAAGCGUGGGGAGCAAACAGGAUUAGAUACCCUAGUAGUCC